UGCUGUGUCUCUUAGCAAUCCAAAGAGAACAUAGGUGUUAUCAGGAAAUGGAUGAAUCAGUACUCUCUAGAGACAGAAUUCAAUUGAAGAAAAUUCCAAGAUCUGGAGAACAGCUAUCAGUGAGCAUAAACAAUACUGCAGUGAGAAGAGGGAGCUGGGAUUGCUCAAGGCUCACGUGAAUACAGGAGAAGUUGGCUUCAGUGACAUCUGUUAUAGGAACAAAACUAUGAAUUUCAGCCAUUGCUUGCAGCACCUGGGCUUCCUGUAGAUGGUGUGGGACCUGAAGUAAAAUUUGAGGAUGAGAAAUGGAUGCUAUGCUUCGGAAAUCGGGUGCCUUAAAAUCUGGCUGAGACAGACCCUACUGUGUUAUCACAUCACUAUAGAGAGCAGGUUGCCAAAACCACAUGUGGAGCUGUGGGCACAAUGGUGAUGAAUGGCAGAUGGAGAACCUCUUUUCAAGUGCAUUUGGAGCAUGGACACUGUCUUGAAGAAAAAGAAAACAGAGAGAAGUACAAAGAGAGCUUGAAGAGCCCUGUGCUCCCAAAGGGCUGCCUGCCCCUCCUUUUAGCAGCUUUUGAGAACUGUGAAAGGAAAACUGGAACUGAGGUUAACUGGAAUUGUUACUGGCUUUGGACUGGAGAAAUACGCUUGCUGUGUGUAAUUCAAGAC